rnacentral:misc_RNA from 1 species
AAAUUUCCAUAUUUUGCUUGCUUAGUAUUAAAAUAUUUGUUGAAGUACUAUCUACUAUGGCAGUUUCAGACAUUAAAGAGUUUUCUAAGCCCAUUAGAAAAGGAAUUGUCGAUAGGGGAUGGAUAGCUGAUGCAGUCAGUGUGCGAAAACGAUUUAUUGCUUGUUUUUGCAUGAGAUUUUUAACGACUGUACGCAUUCAGAAGAAGGAUAUAUUUAAAUUAGAUAAAAAAAUCCACAUUCUCGAAAUUAGGAGUUCAGGAAAAUGCAUAACUGCGUAAUCUUUUUGGAGAGUUCUUAUCGAUAAAAAGUUUUAGCCUCUAAUUAAGAGACUAUAAUGAUUAUGCUACCUUAGCACAGUUAGAAUCCUUUACUUUUUGUUGCCUUUUUCUUAAUUCUAUUUUCUCUUCUUUUUGAUUGAUAUUUGAUUAAUUUUUGUCUACCCUUUUUACAAGAAAUUGUGUUCAUACCUUUAUUUCUUUUUGGUUAAUUUCUGUGAAGUAAAAAUGCUUUGAAUAGCAGGAAAUAAAAUAACAAUUUCAACAUCAAAAAUCAAGAAAAUGAUUGUCAGCCUCUUUUGAAAAAAACGUUUAUGAAAACCUUGCCUGAUACUGCACUUCUCAAUGCUACCGUCCACAUUGAAACACUUGGUGAAGUCCAGAUUCCUGUAUCUCUACAGGAUAUUGACAAACUAAAAACAGUUUCCGGGGAGUUAUCUUAUGGAAGAGGAUGCAGCAUUCCUCUCGAAAACUCUUUAAGAUUAGCAAAGGAGAUAACAAUGCCGAAAGUGCUCUUUUCAACUCAUGAGAGUUAUGACAUUUGGUCAAUUGUUGGAUGCCAUCUACGGCUACCUGUUGAUGUUAUAGAUGUAGAAAUCAAGCUGACUAAAUUAUUGUUAUAUGAAGCUGGCGGCCAUUACAAAGAAAUAGUCUGUGAUCCCAAACAUUGUGGAACUUUUGGUACGGUGAUUCUUCAAUUACCUGUUGAAGGUGGUCAACUGGUCAUGAAGGCGGAGGAAAUGAACAAAUCAUCUUUUAGACACGCAAUGAAACCGGAAGCGCUGGAGCGCCCCGGAAAAAGCCAAUAAAAAAAGCAACAGCAGAAGAGAGAGAGUUCUAAAGAACAAUGAUGAAUUAACACGCAAGUUAUAAGAAAGAUCAAUUCAAACGUUUAAAUCUUGAAAAGUAUAUCUAGCAUCUCCGUCGGGAGUCGGGACGGUGCUCUCUUCCAUUAGCGCUCAACAUCAGAGACCAAGGGAUUCUCUCUGACUUAUUUAACUGGCAGUAGAAAGUUGCUGCCAACACGGGCUCCAUCACUUCCGAUUUACUGUUCUUCCCGAACCAAGUACCUACA